rnacentral:misc_RNA from 1 species
GUGAAUCAUCAAAUUUUUGAACGCAAAUUGCACUCUCUGGUAUUCCGGAGAGUAUGCCUGUUUGAGGGUCAGUUUAAAUAAAAAUCGGUGUGGUUGCUGCCUUUCGUGGUGACGCACCGGAUUUGGGUCGUCUUGCCUUCGGUUAAGUGACCUAAAAUUUUGCAUGAUUUUUUCGAACGUAUUUAAUUAAUUUUCGUAACGUUUGCGUUACCGAAUACUGGGGGUGUU